AUGGGGCAAUCUGACGUAAGAAUCAUCUGCUGGAACGUCCGCGGUCUCAACUCCCCCGCUCGUCGUGAUGUCGUCCGCGACAUGGUGCGUGACGCGCACGCCACCAUCGUCUGUCUCCAAGAGACAAAACUGCAGUUUGUGGACGACUCCAUCAUCCGGGGCAUGCUUGGCCCAUGCUUUGUUGCAAACUACUUCGCCCUGCCUGCAGCCGGCACUCGCGGUGAAAUGAUUCUCGCCGUCUCCGACCGGUUCUUCUCCAUGUCGGACCGCCACGCAUCAACGGCCACCAUUUCUGCCACAAUCACCAUGCUCAAUGAUAACGUCGCCUGGACUAUCUCGUGCGUCUACGGCCCUCAAGGAGAGCAGGACAAGCUGGCUUUCAUUGAGGAGUUGAGGGCUCUAUCUGCCGUCUCUAGGAAUGAGUGGAUUUUACUGGGUGACUUCAACCUCAUCACUAAAGCGACAGACAAGAACAACAGCAACAUAAACCGCCGACUCAUCGGAAAAUUCAGGAGGGCCCUGGACUUCAUGAAAUUAAAGGAGCUACAUUUAUGUGGACGGAGGUUCACCUGGUCCAAUGAACAGGCUAGUCCGGUCCUGACAAAGAUUGACCAUGUUUUCACUCCGAUGACUGGGAUAUGCUCUUCCCAAAUGCCCACCUCCAGGCCAUCUCCACGGCCUUCUCAGACCACGCACCGCUAUACCUUCAGGGAUGUGUUGACAAUCCAAGGAAGCCAUCCUUCAAGUUCGAGGAGUUCUGGUUGCGCCUCCCUGGCUUCCACGAGGCCGUCUCCAUGGCUUGGAACAAGCCCGUCCAGGCUCAUGACGCGAUCUGUAGGAUACACAUCAAGCUUUGCAGGACUGCGAAGGCCUUGCGUAUGUGGAAGAAGGAGAAGGUCGGUGUGCUUAACACCCAUAUCUCGGUGGCGAUAG
rnacentral:rRNA from 1 species